GAAGGUUUAAAACUUAAUUGGAAGUAAGUACUGUAUUAGCGAGACGAUUUAAGUACUACCUCUGGGGCUGUUUCGCUAUCGGUUUUAUUGUAGAGGGAAGGUUUAAAAGGCACAUUUGAAGAAACU
rnacentral:lncRNA from 1 species